rnacentral:rRNA from 1 species
ACUCCUACGGGAGGCAGCAGUGGGAAUAUUGCACAAUGGGCGCAAGCCUGAUGCAGCCAUGCCGCGUGUGUGAAGAAGGCCUUCGGGUUGUAAAGCACUUUCAGUCGUGAGGAAGGUAGUGUAGUUAAUAUGCUGCAUUAUUUGACUUAGCGAACAGAAGAAGCACCGGCUAACUCCGUGCCAGCAGCCGCGGUAAUACGGAGGGUGCGAGCGUUAAUCGGAAUUACUGGGCGUAAAGCGCAUGCAGGUGGUUUUGAUAAGUCAGAUGUGAAAGCCCGGGGCUCAACCUCGGAAUUGCAUUUGAAACUGGCAGACUAAGAGUACUGUAGAGGGGGGUAGAAUUUCAGGUGUAGCGGUGAAAUGCGUAGAGAUCUGAAGGAAUACCGGUGGCGAAGGCGGCCCCCUGGACAGAUACUGACACUCAGAUGCGAAAGCGUGGGAGCAAACAGGAUUAGAUACCCUGGUAGGCU